AUUAGAGGAAGUAAAAGUCGUAACAAGGUUUCCGUAGGUGAACCUGCGGAAGGAUCAUUAUUGAUUGCGAAUCGUUGUCUUCAGUGCUGGCCAGCUCUGGCAAGUGCACGUUGGCGGCUUUUCAUCCAAUACCCCUGUGAACCUUUGGCCUCUUGCUAGCUUUGGCUGGCAGAGGAUUUUUACACCCACUCGAAUGUAAUGAAAUUAUUGUUGUGCGCAAGCACUACUGUACAACUUUCAACAACGGAUCUCUUGGCUCUCGCAUCGAUGAAGAACGCAGCGAAAUGCGAUAAGUAAUGUGAAUUGCAGAAUUCAGUGAAUCAUCGAAUCUUUGAACGCACCUUGCACCCUUUGGCAUUCCGAAGGGUAUGCUCGUUUGAGUGUCAUUGUACUCUCACACUUCUGAUCCUUUUGGAUUGGGAGCGGUGGACUUGGGUGUUUGCUGCUUUACUGCGGCUCACCUCAAAUGCAUUAGUGCAACUCUUGGUUGGACAUAGUACGGCGUGAUAAGUAUCUUCGCCGGCACCUCGCAAGAGGGUGGCUGAUCAGGAGCUCUGUGCUCUCCAACUGUCUUCAGACAACAACUGACAACUUGACCUCAAAUCGAGUAGGACCACCCGCUGAACUUAAGCAUAUC
rnacentral:rRNA from 1 species